CUCGAUGGCGGGCCGUAUGGGGAGACCUUCGGGUCUGCCGGUCCUUUGGUCCCGGUUCUGCUAACCCUGUACGGCUCCGCCUCCAAC
rnacentral:antisense_RNA from 1 species